rnacentral:lncRNA from 1 species
GAGCACCGCCUCAACCCCAACCUCCUCUCCUCCCUCCGGUCUGCCCUCUCCCGCCUCCAAGCCGACCCCUCCGCCUCCUCCUCCGCCCUCAUCACCACCGCCCACGGCAAGUUCUUCUCCAACGGCUACGACCUCGACUGGGCCCAGUCCUCCGAGCCCCGCCUCCAGCUCAUGUCAUCCGCCCUCCGCUCCCUCGUCCGCGACCUCAUCUGCCUCCCCAUGCCGACCAUCGCCGCCGUCACCGGCCACGCCUCCGCCGCCGGCACGACUACGUAGUCAUGCGGCGCGACCGGGGCCUCCUCUACAUGAGCGAGAGGGACAUCGGGCUGGUGAUAUCCAACUGGUUCAUGGCCUUGAUGAGGUCCAAGAUCGGCGACCCGAGGGCCCGGCGCGAGGCGAAACUGACUGCCGAGGACGGGGUGAGAAUGGGGAUUGUUGAGUCGGCCCAUGACGGCGCGGAGGCGACGGUGGUGGCAGCGGCCGAGCUGGGGGAGGCGUUGGUCGCGAGGAAGUGGGACGGACACGUGUACGCUGGGAAUCGGAGGGUGGUGCUGCGGGAGGUGCUGGAGGCCAUCGGAUCGAUGAGACGGUCAAGAAAGUGGCGGAGGAUAAGGCCUUGUCGAAAUUGUAGCUUGGCUUUCCCUUGAGGCCCGUUUGGAGUGAUCUUGUGAAAUCGUUCUGCCCGUUGGGCCCAUUAUCCGGUCCCACGAAAUAGUUCCCGAAAGUUGGUAUAAUAUACAAUAUUAUCUCUGGAUUUUUAACUUGUGCAACACGAUCCAUGAACUUGGGCCCAGAUAAAAUUUCUUCCAUAAACUUUUUUUUUUUUUUUUUGUAUUGAAAGGGGUGAAGCCCAGAAGUUACAACAAAACUCUCCUAACGAAGCUGGAUCCAACUUGAUCACCUAUCAAUAAAGGAUUCAAAUCUUUUGGUGGCCUCUCCAAGAUUAAGGUGUCAUUCACAUCACACGAGUAAAUGGCCCAAUUUGCUAACCAAUUAGCACAUGAGUUUCCUUCCCUAAAGUUAUGUAGAAUAUGAAUAUGCUGGAAAUAGAUUAAAAGUUUUCGAAUAUGAGAAAUAAGCAUGUCGCCAAAGUUGAGAGUGUGAGUUGAUUUCUGGAGUAGUGAAAUAGCGGCUUGUGAGUCCGCCUCCACGAUAAGUUUGGGGAUACCCAAAGAAAUUGCCAAUUUUCAAUUUGGUCAUUGAAAUAUUGAAAAAUGUUCAAUAUAGUCCUUCUAUUUGCUCAAACGACAACUUAGAUGAUAAUUGAUAACGUAAAUUAUUAUAUACUGAGUUGGGUUUCUAAAAAUAACAAGUCAACAUUGUCUAUCCUUUUAUCCGUCUAUUUUAUCAAAUGAAAGAAACAAAUUAGGGAUUUUUUUCUUUUCUGAUUAAAGAUGAAUACACGUGUAACUUUUAUUUCUAUCCAUAAAUCAAACUUAACAAUUUGGAAGCCAAACAGUAUGUUCCGUUAAUUUGAAUUAAUGAAACAAUGAUAUAAAAUAUCUUAAUGUAGUUUAAGGACUUUAUGAAACAUUUAUCAAUGGUUCAGAGAUUAUGUUGAAUAAAUUAAAAUUUUAGGGAUAGUUUAGGGAUGAUAUUAUGUGUUGAACCAAAGUUCAGAAAUUAUUUGCAUCAUUUUCCUUUGUAAAUGUAUGAGAUGUCUAAAUAUUGCAGUAUAAUAAGGUGGCAAAACAGGAACUAUAAUCAAAUUGUGUGUGCCACUUUUUUUUUUGUGUCCGAUCUUUUCUUACAUCUAUUUUACAAGCCAUUUUGUAUGCUAUAUGCUAUGCGCAGAUUGUGAAAUCCUACUCCUUCACUCAUACAUCCCCACCCUAGCUUUUCGAGAAGUCCCACCUCCCCCUUCCCAAGUAGAAAGGGUUGCCACUAAGGCAACCUGUGGCUUGAUCAUGUGCGGCACUUGAAAAGUGAAUAAUUAACAAUUUUCCUUUUUGCAAUUAUAUGCUAAUACCAAUAUAUUUUGUCAUGUACUUAUAAACGAGAUCCCUUCUAUGUGGUUUGUUCAUAAUUUGUUAAUGAGAAAUGUUCAAAAGCUACCAUGGCAUGGAUGUUGCAAUUUUCUGGGAAAACUUAUCAAAAUAGUUCUAAAUCUAUUGCACUUAUAUUAAUUUAGUUUUAAAUCUUUUAAUUUGGUCAAUUUAUUCUUAACUAUUUUGACAAUUUACCAAUGUAGCACAUCUGAUCAAUUUUGAGUGAAAAUCGAUGACGUAGACACCAAUCGUUUUACAUGGCAUCGUCAGCAUUAACGUGGACAAUUUUUUGCAUUUUCUUUAAUUUUUUGUUUUUAAAAUUUUAAUUUAUUUAUUUAUUUCCUUUAUUGUUGCCGGUGAGGGCUCCCCUUGCUUGUGGCAGUGAAGGUGGCCCUUGCCCAACCCCCUCUAUAACGACCUAAAUUUCCACAAAAUUAAAUAUUGAAUGAGUAUAUAAAUUAACUUCACUUCAAUUCUUCGAUAAAUAAUGAACUUAUCCCCAAUUGUAUAAGUAAUUUAACCGUAGCUAACAUACUUCAAAACCUUAUGUACAGAAACCCAUCUUCACUUUUGCUACACAUUUUGAUUCAAUCCUUACUAGUGAUCUUCGGAAGCGUUAACCUAAUGCUUAUGAAUUCCUAACUCGACAAAUCUGAGAAAUAUAUUAGGGUGAGCCUAAGCUUUGUAAAUGAACUCUCUAGGUUUGAGGUAGAAGAUCAACUUACCACUUAACUUGGUAUCAAUAAACAACAUGAGCUCAAGCUAUACAAAAUAACAAUGUAUGACAAAUGUAUAAGCAAAUGCUCUAUCUUCACUAUCAUGAUAUGCUAGUGGAAACCAUUAACAACAUUGCAAGUUCAUUCACUCAAAAGCAAGCAUAUGACAUAUUAUUUAAUGAUGAACUAGUAUCACCUAGUAGCUCACUACUAUACACAAGAAUGUACAUAGGCAAGAUUAUACUUAUCAUGGAGCUCACAAACACAUACUAUACUUGUCAGUAGCCAGAACCAUCACAUCUCGACUAAAGAGGCAUUGUCACUCCAACUCAUGAGGGAUGGAAUCAUACAUGCCUUUUGCCAUGCCUCAACCCAUUCAUCACAAGUGUCUUCUACAUCAGCGAUGAUAAAUACGUCACUAUAUAUCCACAUGAUGAUAGUCAACAUACCAUGACUACAAGAGCCAUGUCAUGCCUUGACUAUGUAAGCCAAGUCAUAUCAUGAACACAAAGCCCAUGUCAUACCAUGACUAUAUAGACAUGUUAUAAUAGAAUUUCAUAUCAUCUCAAUCUUAUAGAGAACUGUAUCAUACACUAGAAGAUCCUACUAACUCUAAAGUCUCGUCCACAUACUUAUAAAAGAGAAUUCGCUCUAUAGAGAAUGGCCUACGGCAAAGGUCUUAAUCAUAUGACAUCAUUCACAUACAUUUCAUAGCAACAUAACAAUUGCCAUGUACAUCUCAAUAAUUUGCAAUUUGUCAUGCAGUUAACGAUAGACAAUUAAUAACAUGCACUUCCACACAUAUAACCUCAUUCUUUCCAUGCCAAGCCAUCAUUAUUUAAUUGAAAGCCAUAGAUAAGUGAUCGGUGACUUUUUUUUUUUUUUUGACACAAGUGAUCAGUGACUUAGGAAUGGAUGCUCAUUAUCGACCACAUAAACGUUGACAAUUCAAAGAAUUGACCACUUCAAACAACAACUCAAAGAAUUGGUUUAUGCUAAAUCCAAAGUUGUUUAAUUAUAUGUUACCUUGCGUGAUGCAAAUGGACUAGGUCAAAAAUUGUUUAUCCAAAUCAUGUCAUCAUAGAGAAAAUAUUAAGUGGUCCCAAACCACCAGUCAACGUGCUUCUUGACCAAUCAGGAAGCUCCACAUGGCUCCACGUCAGCAAGUGGUCCUCACCAUAGAAAAUAUGAAUUUCCUCUUUCUUAUCUAAAAAUUUUCUCCUAAUAAUAGGCCUACACACAUUAAUCGCUGCCCUAGGCAUGCUGCGUAGAGUCAUUUCCCUUUCUCUCUCCUCCUUUUUCUCCUUCUGAAGGCAGAACACCAAUGCUUCCUCUCUUCCUUCUUCUCGUGAAUUCAAAAUCUCAGGUUCGCUCGUCUUCACUCUUUGCUCUAGUGCCCUCUCAUUGGGCGUCACUUCUUCGCUCUCUGCUGCAGCGCUCGUGCUCAUUGGGUCUCACUCUACAAAAAUCCAAUGAGACUCCGUUGUCCUAUCAAUCCCCAUAUAACCAAAAAAAAAAAAAAUCCAACAGCAAACUGCAAUUGUUUUUUACGCAGGGAAAGAGGGGGAAAGAGCUCGACUUGGUGGAGUUCAUAUUCACGCUUGCAGUAGGAAACAUCGCAUAGCUCAUGUUGAUGGUGUCAUGUCCCCGCCAAGUCGUCGUUGAGGAUGCCUCCAUGGUGCUCACACUCAUCGCAGCCAAGCACUAGACGAGCAGGCGGGUCGUCCACGUCUUGCUAGGGCCAGACGAGUCAAGAGCUUCUAGGAAUGUGCUAAGAUCUCACGCUUGAUGCGUCGGGUUCAUGGUGGGGAGGCCGAGGACCCUUUUGUCGAACGAGCUUAAGGGCACGUCGAGUUUGUGCUCCUGGAUUGCGGAGGCAAUGACCCGCGCGGGGCGUUCGAGGCAACACGGGAAGGUGGCAAGGGGAUCGUUGUGGGGUAUAAUACCCUUCACGAGGGCACGUUGUGGAGUGAACUGAGAGCUCACUCUUUGCCAAUAUGGGAGGGUGUUAUGGCGACUAGGAUUGCGAAAGUUGCUAAAGCCCACGGCAGGAUUGGCAGUGGCGGAAGGUGUAGGAAGAAGAGCAGAUGGGUAGUUACAGUGGACGACUACACCGGCCAAGAGCGUGUUUUAAGGAUCGUCUCAUCACAGAGGAAACAUAUUGAAGCUUAAGGACAAAAUUCAUUUGGUUUUGGGAUCUACCAGAGAAACAGAGAGGACUAAGACUUUAUGCUGGAUCUAGAUCUCGUGAUCUACACUAACUCCUAAAAUCUUGUAAAUGUAAAUAGCGAUCGAUUGAAUUAUGUAAUGAUAAUCUACAUUUUUUUUUUGACUUUUUCAAUAUGCAAGUUGUGUUUUAUGCAGAGUUUGCCUCCUUUAGGCCCUUGAAACUAUUGAGAACACAUGAAUUUCUGCACGAUCAAGAUCAGGGACUUAAAACACUUAGCUUUCGCUAAACCAAAUCGCGAUUCACCAAACACGUGAUCGAAAGGAGUUUCGGCAAAUCUUGUGGGCUGAGGUUGAUCUAGAGAGUGUCUUACAUUCUUUCUAGGACUUUCAAGUCUUGUCUGAUUGCUUAACAGAUUUUUUUUUGGUCGGGAUUGAAAUUGCAGGAAAAUCGCGUCCUUGUUUUGCCAAUUCAAUUGGCUUUUGCCUUUGCUCAUAGCGCUCCACAUUCUGGUUUCGCAUUUGUGGCUCCUUUUUUUUACCAAUUCCUAAUACUGAUUAAAAGUUGCUAUUAAAAGUUCAAUUUUUUUACACAAAAACAAAAAUCCGAUUUCACUUUGGUUGACAAUUCCCUCCUUGCCAAAAAAAAAUCAAGCAAAAUUCUCGUAGGAUUUUAUACUCCUUAAAUCAAGAGAUUGUGGAAUGAAGACUUCAACUUAAAUCAAGAGAUUGUGGAAUGAAGACUUCAACAUAGGUACAGGAAAUGGGAGAUUGGUGCAAACAAAACUCAAUUUCGUCAUUGAUGAACUAAAUCCAGCAUAAGAUACAAAAAAAAAAAAAAAAGACACUAUUCUCGUUUGAAUUGAAUUGUGAUAGGAAAAUAUUAGCCCUUAAAAUGAACUUAAUUGCAAGAAGAACAACCGAUAAAAACAUCAAAAUCACUACGUGUUAUCCAACUGGCACAAAACUUGGCAAGACAUAAGUAUUCUCGAUGAAAUUGACAAAGAAAAUGGAUGGCUAUGACUAAAAAAUGAAUCCUCACAAUCUAUGAAAGAAUUUGGAGAACUAGAUUGCUCGCCAUUCACUAUGGAGGGAAAGAAUGAACUAUUUUUGUUUUCUAUUUUUAACUCCAAGGCCCAAAAUAGCAUGGAGGUGGCUUCAAAGUACUAUGACAACUUUCUCUGGAGAUACGAGAGAAGCAGCAUCAACUCUGAAACCACACCACCACAUUAAAAUCAAUUAAGGCAACGUUAAAUGUAGAUGGAGAGUUCACUAUUUCUCAGCCUCCCCAUCAUGAACUCGAUGCACCCUCGAUGCACCCCUAAGCUCAUUCGACAAAAGGGUCCUUAGCCUCCCCACUACGAACUCGACGUGUCAAGCGUGGGCUCGUAGUGCGUCCCUAGAGGCUCUUGACUCAUCUAGCCCUAGCGAGACGUGGACGGGCCGCCGCUCACUUGCCCGUCCAGUGCACGGCUGUGACGAGCACAAGCACCAUGGAGGCGUCCUUAGCAGCGGCGAUGGCGGCCUGGUGAGGACACGAUACCAUCACCAUGAGCUGCAUACUGUUUCAUGUCACGAGCAUGGAUAUGAACUCCACCGAGUCAAGCUCAAUCCCUCUCUUUCCCCACAUAAAAAACGAUCAUGGCUUGUUGUUGGCCUUUUUUUUUUUACUCCUUUCCUAAUGGGGACUAAGAGGACAAUGGAGUCUCAUUAGAUUUUUGUAGAGUGAGACCCAAACAAACACGAGCGUCAGAGCAGAGAGUGAAGAAGUGACACCUAACAAGAGAGCGCCGGAGUAGAAAGCAGAAAGCGAAGACAAGGGAACCUAAAAUUUUGAAUCCACGAGAGAAGGAAGGGAGGAAGCAUCAAUCUUCCACCUUUAGAAGGAGAAAAAGGAGAAGAGAGAGAGAGGGAAAUGACCUCCGCAGGAUGGUUAUGGCAGCAAUUAAUAUGUGCAGACUUAUUAUUAGGGGAAAAUUUUAAAUAAGAAAGAGACAAUUCAUUUUUUUUAUGGUGGGGACCACUCGCGGACGUGGAGCCACAUAGAGCUUCCUAAUUGGUCGGGAACGGUCGGACCUAAUAUUUUCUCUAUUUUCAUAUUCUCUUUGGUUUCCACGCCAAAAUCAAUUUUUUAUUUUAAUUAUAACAAUAAUUGAUUCUCGUUAGUCUCCUAUUUCAGUUGACUUCACAGUCGACUUCCCUCUGCACAUUGCUUAAAACAGUAAAACCCCAUUCUCUCUCUCUCUCUACCCCCUGCGCAGGAGAAUCAAUCUGACCAUUCUCAUGGCGGACAACAAGCACGGCGAGGAGCAGCUCUGCACCCUCGAGAAGCGCGGCAACCUCUUCAUCCUCACCCUCACCGGCGCCGGCGAGCACCGUCUCAACCCCAACCUUCUCUCCUCCCUCCGGUCCGCCCUCUCCCGCCUCAAAUCCGACCCCUCCGCCUCCUCCUCCGCCCUCAUCACCACCGCCCACGGCAAGUUCUUCUCCAACGGCUACGACCUCGACUGGGCCCAGUCCUCCGAGCCCCGCCUCCAGCUCAUGUCCUCCGCCCUCCGCUCCCUCGUCCGCGACCUCAUCUGCCUCCCCAUGCCGACCAUCGCCGCCGUCACCGGCCACGCCUCCGCCGCCGGCAUGAUGCUGGCCCUCAGCCACGACUACGUGGUCAUGCG